UCCUCUCAGCUUCUUCUAUGCAGUCCCAGUCAUUGCAUGUCAGCUUUGAAUGUGUCCAAUUCAACAAAAUGUUUUUGGGAAGGUCAGAGCUAAAUUAUAUUUGUUUGAUUGUGUAAAAUAAAUCCACAUCCUAUUAAACUUAUUUUAUUACUUUUCCAUGUUGUACAUAUACUUACUUGUAUUACAUGUUGAACCACAUGCUGGAUAUCUUCCCCAGCCUCAAGGAAAUACAAUAA